rnacentral:rRNA from 1 species
GGCUUAGAGUUUGAUCUUGGCUCAGAUUGAACGCUGGCGGCAUGCCUAACACAUGCAAGUCGAACGGCAGCACAGGUAGCAAUACCGGGUGGCGAGUGGCGGACGGGUGAGUAACGCAUCGGGAUCUACCCUGACGUGGGGGAUAACCUCGGGAAACCGGGACUAAUACCGCAUACGUCCUACGGGAGAAAGCGGGGGACCUUCGGGCCUCGCGCGGCAGGACGAACCGAUGUGCGAUUAGCUAGUUGGCGGGGUAAUGGCCCACCAAGGCGACGAUCGCUAGCUGGUCUGAGAGGAUGAUCAGCCACACUGGGACUGAGACACGGCCCAGACUCCUACGGGAGGCAGCAGUGGGGAAUAUUGGACAAUGGGUGCAAGCCUGAUCCAGCAAUGCCGCGUGUGUGAAGAAGGCCUUCGGGUUGUAAAGCACUUUUAUCAGGAGCGAAAUGCCAUGGGUUAAUACCUCGUGGAGCUGACGGUACCUGAGGAAUAAGCACCGCCUUGAAAAGGGUGCCAGCAGCCGCGGUAAUA